UCGAGCGGAAGGCCCUUCGGGGUACUCGAGCGGCGAACGGGUGAGUAACACGUGAGUAACCUGCCCCUGACUCUGGGAUAAGCCUGGGAAACUGGGUCUAAUACCGGAUAUGACACUCCGCUUCAUGGUGUGGGUGUGGAAAGUUUUUUCGGUUGGGGAUGGGCUCGCGGCCUAUCAGCUUGUUGGUGGGGUGAUGGCCUACCAAGGCGACGACGGGUAGCCGGCCUGAGAGGGCGACCGGCCACACUGGGACUGAGACACGGCCCAGACUCCUACGGGAGGCAGCAGUGGGGAAUAUUGCGCAAUGGGCGGAAGCCUGACGCAGCGACGCCGCGUGGGGGAUGACGGCCUUCGGGUUGUAAACCUCUUUCAGCAGGGACGAAGUUGACGUGUACCUGUAGAAGAAGCGCCGGCUAACUACGUGCCAGCAGCCGCGGUAAUACGUAGGGCGCAAGCGUUGUCCGGAAUUAUUGGGCGUAAAGAGCUCGUAGGUGGCUUGUCGCGUCUGCCGUGAAAGCCCGUGGCUUAACUACGGGUCUGCGGUGGAUACGGGCAGGCUAGAGGCUGGUAGGGGCAAGCGGAAUUCCUGGUGUAGCGGUGAAAUGCGCAGAUAUCAGGAGGAACACCGGUGGCGAAGGCGGCUUGCUGGGCCAGUUCUGACGCUGAGGAGCGAAAGCGUGGGGAGCGAACAGGAUUAGAUACCCUGGUAGUCCACGCUGUAAACGUUGGGCGCUAGGUGUGGGGGUCUUCCACGAUUCCUGUGCCGUAGCUAACGCAUUAAGCGCCCCGCCUGGGGAGUACGGCCGCAAGGCUA
rnacentral:rRNA from 1 species